rnacentral:rRNA from 1 species
GACGAAGGGGGCUAGCGUUGUUCGGAAUUACUGGGCGUAAAGCGCGUGUAGGCGGUUGUCCAAGUUGGAUGUGAAAGCCUUGAGCUUAACUCAAGAAAUGCAUUCAGGACUGGAUGACUAGAGGACCGGAGAGGAUAGUGGAAUUCCCAGUGUAGUGGUGAAAUACGUAGAGAUUGGGAAGAACACCAGUGGCGAAGGCGGCUAUCUGGACGGUUUCUGACGCUAAGACGCGAAAGCGUGGGGAGAAAACAGG